UAGACGUGUUCGGCUUAACUUGUGUGCACGCGCUUGUUUAAGUUUUAGAUUUUAAUCAUCAUUUUCAUUUGUUUUCUGAAAACAGAAAAAUACAAAAAAAACAUUUUAAACUUUAUGUAAACGAAUAGAAUUUUCUUUAAUUUUAAAAAGUUUUUGAAAAAAAUUUUAAACGAAAAAAUUUAACGAAAACCGUGUGUGUGUGGCAUUCAAAUUUUGAAUUUUAAACGAAAACUUAAACAAAAAUAUUAAGUUUUUUUUAAUAAAAAACAUUCAAUAAUUUCUAAAAAGUA